AGAAUUCGGCUUCACUAUCAAAG
rnacentral:siRNA from 1 species